rnacentral:rRNA from 1 species
AGAGUUUGAUCAUGGCUCAGGACGAACGCUGGCGGCGUGCUUAACACAUGCAAGUGGUGCGACGAACCAGGGCUUGCCCUGGGGCUAAGCCGCGAACGGGUGAGUAACACGUGAGUAAUCUGCCCCGAUGACCGGGACAACCCGAGGAAACUCGGGCUAAUACCGGAUGUGGUGCACGGGUAUAAGCCUGUGUACUAAAGGAAGCUUCGGCCUCCGCAUCGAGAUGGGCCCGCGGCCCAUUAGCUUGUUGGUGAGGUAAUGGCUCACCAAGGCCGCGAUGGGUAGCUGGUCUGAGAGGACGAUCAGCCACACUGGGACUGAGACACGGCCCAGACUCCUACGGGAGGCAGCAGUGGGGAAUCUUGCGCAAUGCGCGAAAGCGUGACGCAGCAACGCCGCGUGGGGGAAGAAGGCCUUCGGGUUGUAAACCCCUUUCAGGAGGGACGAAGCCCGAGCGGUGAAUAGCCGACUCGGGUGACGGUACCUCCAGAAGAAGCCCCGGCUAACUACGUGCCAGCAGCGGCGGUAAUUC